GGGUCGAUGCCCGAGCGGUUAAUGGGGACGGACUGUAAAUUCGUUGGCAAGAUGCCUACGCUGGUUCAAAUCCAGCUCGGCCCA
rnacentral:tRNA from 1 species